rnacentral:tRNA from 2 species
GCUUAGAUAGUUUAAUAAAAAAUGUUGGUUUGUGGGGCCAGAGAUGUUGGUAAUUAACUUUGAGCA